rnacentral:rRNA from 1 species
UACGUAUGGACCGAGCGUCGUCCGGAUUCAUUGGGCGUAAAGAGCUCGUAGGCGGUUGCCCAAGUCGAAUGUGAAAACUCGAGGCUCAACCUCGAGCCUGCAUUCGAUACUGGGCGGCUAGAGUCUGGUAGGGGGAUCUGGAAUUCCUGGUGUAGCGGUGGAAUGCGCAGAUAUCAGGAGGAACACCGGUGGCGAAGGCGGGAUCCUGGGCCAGUACUGACGCUGAGGAGCGAAAGCGUGGGGAGCAAACAGG